CCUACGGGUGGCAGCAGUGAGGAAUAUUGGUCAAUGGUCGGGAGACUGAACCAGCCAAGCCGCGUGAGGGAGGAAGGUACAGAGUAUCGUAAACCUCUUUUGUCAGGGAACAAAGACUGGGACGCGUCCCCGGAUGAGUGUACCUGAAGAAAAAGCAUCGGCUAACUCCGUGCCAGCAGCCGCGGUAAUACGUAGGUGGCAAGCGUUGUCCGGAUUUACUGGGUGUAAAGGGCGUGCAGCCGGGAAGACAAGUCAGAUGUGAAAUCCCGCGGCUCAACCGCGGAACUGCAUUGGAAACUGUUUUUCUUGAGUACCGGAGAGGUCAUCGGAAGGCCUUGGGUAGCGGUGAAAUGCGUAGAUAUAAGGAAGAACACCAGUGGCGAAGGCGGAUGACUGGACGGCAACUGACGGUGAGGCGCGAAAGCGUGGGGAGCAAACAGGAUUAGAUACCCGUGUAGUC
rnacentral:rRNA from 1 species